CCCCAGCGCCACGAGUGGGGAUCGCGUUUAUUUGGCCUAAAGCAUCCGUAGCCGGUUAUGUAAAUCUUUUGUGAAAUUGUUUCGCUCAACGGAACAGCGUGCAGAAGACACUGCAUAACUAGGGACUGGGAGGAGUCAGGGGUAUGCAAAGGGGAGCGGUAAAAUGCUAUAAUCCUUUGUAGACCACCUGUGGCGAAGGCGCCUGACUAGAACAGGUCCGACGGUGAGGGAUGAAAGCCAGGGGA
rnacentral:rRNA from 1 species